GAGGUCUCCCCGAUACUGUGGAGAGUUCGACCAGGUCUUAAAAUUGUGUGGCUACCAGCCCAGGCCUUUGGCUUUCUCCUUCUGUUAGCCUUCACUCAAUUCACUGAGCUUAGGAGAGACCGGCAGGCUUUAACCAAUGAGAUCCCCACCAUCAAACUCCAGCACUUCCUUCAACGGAGAAAUGGUGAUGGUGUGAUGAUGAUGGUGGUGGUGAUGAUAGUGAUGAUGAUGACUCCAUUAAAGUUCUCCUAUUCCUCAUUGUUGUGGAGGUGACCUGGCUUCUUGAAGGGAAUGCCAUUGGAAUGUUGACUUUGAACAACCGGAUUGCCAUGUACAGUUUAAGUAAACUCCACCAUAUGCUGAUUGACUGAGUAACAUCUGGCUGGCCCAUCUGACCACCCAAAAGUUAGUUGUCCAGUAGCCAACUUGAAAUGAAACUGUAAGUAUAUAAACUUGUUUAAGAAACAGUAAACUUUACAUACACACAGAAAUCUAAGCCGAAAGCCAUUCUGGCAGGCAGAGAGAUGGGGGGGGGGGGGAGAUAACACAAACUAUAGAUUUGCAAAAUGGCCAAAGGGAG
rnacentral:lncRNA from 1 species